CAGUGGGUGCACGCCCCACCGGCAACCGCUCCAGCCGGAAGCAACCGGAGCAGCUAUGGAGGUAACGAAGUGGCUGAAGCCUUCGGGUAAGCCACUCUGUGCAAUGAGCCUUGGCGCCGCAACUAAC
rnacentral:ncRNA from 1 species